UACGAAUGGGGCGAGCGUUGUUCGGAUUUACUGGGCGUAAAGGGCGCGCAGGCGGCUCAUUUUGUCAGGCGUGAAAGCCCCGGGCUUAACCUAGGAACUGCGUUUGAUACGGAUGGGCUAGAGUUCGGGAGAGGAGCGUGGAAUUCCCAGUGUAGAGGUGAAAUUCGUAGAUAUUGGGAAGAACACCGGUGGCGAAGGCGGCGCUCUGGACCGAGACUGACGCUGAGGCGCGAAAGCGUGGGGAGCAAACAGG
rnacentral:rRNA from 1 species